rnacentral:tRNA from 1 species
GCCUGGGGGGCUCAGUCGGUUGAGCGUCUGACUUCGACUCAGGUCAGGUCAUGAUCUCAUGGUUCAUGGGUUCGAGCCCCACGUCGGGCU